rnacentral:rRNA from 1 species
UAAUCUGUAUCUAAUAUGCAACAUAAUAAAAAGUAGCAAAGCGUGUGUGCCAUGUGCCGAGAAAAGCUGCUAUUGUGUAAUGCGUGCCCGUACCGUAAACCGACACAGGUGGAUGAGGAGAGAAUCCUAAGGCCGACGGAAGAAGCAUUGUUAAGGAAUUCGGCAAAAUGACCCCGUAACUUCGGGAGAAGGGGUGCCUGCGAGAGCAGGCCGCAGAGAAUAGGCUCAAGCAACUGUUUAGCAAAAACACAGGUCUAUGCGAAACCGAAAGGUGAAGUAUAUGGGCUGACGCCUGCCCGGUGCUGGAAGGUUAAGAGGAGAGGUUAGCGUAAGCGAAGCUUUGAAUUUAAGCCCCAGUAAACGGCGGCCGUAACUAUAACGGUCCUAAGGUAGCGAAAUUCCUUGUCGGGUAAGUUCCGACCCGCACGAAAGGCGUAAUGAUUUGAGCACUGUCUCGACAAUGCAUCCGGUGAAAUUGAAGUACCAGUGAAGAUGCUGGCUACCCGCGCCAGGACGGAAAGACCCCAUGGAGCUUUACUCCAGUUUGAUACUGGGAUUCGGUACUGCAUGUACAGGAUAGGUGGGAGACGAAGAAGGAUGGACGCCAGUCUGUCCGGAGUCGCUGUUGGGAUACCACCCCUGUAGUACUGGGUUUCUAACCAGUUGCCAUGAACUGGCAAUGGGACAAUGUCAGGCGGGGAGUUUGACUGGGGCGGUCGCCUCCGAAAGGGUAUCGGAGGCGCUCAAAGGUUCCCUCAGAAUGGUUGGAAACCAUUUGAAGAGUGCAAAGGCAGAAGGGAGCUUGACUGCGACACCGACGGGUGGAGCAGGUACGAAAGUAGGACUUAGUGAUCCGGUGGUAUAAAGUGGGAUUGCCAUCGCUCAACGGAUAAAAGCUACCCUGGGAUAACAGGCUUAUCACUCCCAAGAGUUCACAUCGACGGAGUGGUUUGGCACCUCGAUGUCGGCUCAUCGCAUCCUGGGGCUGUAGCAGGUCCCAAGGGUUGGGCUGUUCGCCCAUUAGAGCGGUACGCGAGCUGGGUUCAGAACGUCGUGAGACAGUUCGGUCCCUAUCCGGCGCGGGCGGAGGAUAUUUGAGAGGAGCUGUCCUUAGUACGAGAGGACCGGGAUGGACGGACCACUGGUGUAUCUGUUGUCGACCAACGGCAUGGCAGAGUAGCCAAGUCUGGAAGGGAUAAACGCUGAAGGCAUCUAAGCGUGAAGCCCCCCUCAAGAUGAGAUAUCCCUCCUUCGGGAGUAAGACCCCUUGAAGACUACAAGGUAGAUAGGGCAGAGGUGGAAGCAUGGCAACAUGUGGAGCUGACUGUUACUAAUAGGUCGAGGGCC